rnacentral:rRNA from 1 species
GACGGAGGAUGCAAGCGUUAUCCGGAAUGAUUGGGCGUAAAGCGUCUGCAGGUGGCAGUUCAAGUCUGCUGUCAAAGACCGGGGCUUAACUUCGGAAAGGCAGUGGAAACUGAACAGCUAGAGUAUGGUAGGGGCAGAGGGAAUUCCUGGUGUAGCGGUGAAAUGCGUAGAGAUCGGGAAGAACACCGGUGGCGAAAGCGCUCUGCUGGGCCGCAACUGACACUCAGGGACGAAAGCUAGGGGAGCGAAUGGG